AUUGAACGCUAGCGGCAUGCUUAACACAUGCAAGUCGAGCGGAAACGAUGGAAGCUUGCUUCCAGGCGUCGAGCGGCGGACGGGUGAGUAACGCGUAGGAAUCUACCUUAUAGUGGGGGAUAACCCGGGGAAACUCGGGCUAAUACCGCAUAAUCUCUUCGGAGCAAAGCGGGGGAUCUUCGGACCUCGUGCUAAAAGAUGAGCCUGCGUUGGAUUAGCUUGUGGUGGGUAACGCUACAAGGCGACGAUCCAUAGCUGGUCUGAGAGGACGAUCAGCCACACUGGGACUGAGACACGGCCCAGACUCCUACGGGAGGCAGCA
rnacentral:rRNA from 1 species